ACGGGAGGCAGCAGUGGGGGAUAUUGGACAAUGGGGGCAACCCUGAUCCAGCGACGCCGCGUGAGUGAAGAAGUAUUUCGGUAUGUAAAGCUCUAUCAGCAGGGAAGAAAAAGCGCAAGCAUUGACUGUACCUGACUAAGAAGCCCCGGCUAACUACGUGCCAGCAGCCGCGGUAAUACGUAGGGGGCAAGCGUUAUCCGGAUUUACUGGGUGUAAAGGGAGUGUAGGCGGCUGCGCAAGUCAGAAGUGAAAGCCCGGGGCUUAACCCCGGGACUGCUUUUGAAACUGCGUAGCUUGAGUGCAGGAGAGGCAAGCGGAAUUCCUAGUGUAGCGGUGAAAUGCGUAGAUAUUAGGAAGAACACCGGUGGCGAAGGCGGCUUGCUGGACUGAGACUGACGCUGAGGCUCGAAAGCGUGGGGAGCAAACAGGAUUAGAUACCCUGGUA
rnacentral:rRNA from 1 species